ACGGAGGGUGCAAGCGUUAUUCGGAAUCACUGGGUGUAAAGCGCGUGUAGGCGGUUUGGUAAGUCAGGUGUGAAAGCUUCGGGCUUAACCCGAAAAGUGCACUUGAAACUGCCAGGCUUGAGUUCCGGAGAGGAAGGUGGAAUUCCCAGUGUAGAGGUGAAAUUCGUAGAUAUUGGGAGGAACAUCGGUGGCGGAGGCGGCUCUCUGGACUGAUACUGACGCUGAGGCACGAAAGCUGGGGGAGCAAACAG
rnacentral:rRNA from 1 species